rnacentral:rRNA from 1 species
AUACGGAGGGUGCAAGCGUUACUCGGAAUCACUGGGCGUAAAGCGCGCGCAGGCGGCUAUUUAAGUUGGAUGUGAAAGCCUACGGCUCAACCGUAGAACUGCAUCCAAAACUAUUUAGCUAGAGUGUGAGAGAGGAAGAUGGAAUUAGUUGUGUAGGGGUAAAAUCCGUAGAGAUAACUAGGAAUACCAAAAGCGAAGGCAAUCUUCUGGAACACUACUGACGCUGAGGCGCGAAAGCGUGGGGAGCAAACAGGAUUAGAUACCCUAGUAGUCC